GAUGAACGCUGGCGGCGUGCCUAAUACAUGCAAGUCGAGCGAACAGACGAGGAGCUUGCUCCUCUGACGUUAGCGGCGGACGGGUGAGUAACACGUGGAUAACCUACCUAUAAGACUGGGAUAACCUCGGGAAACCGGAGCUAAUACCGGAUAACAUGUUGAACCGCAUGGUUCAACAGUGAAAGACGGUCUUGCUGUCACUUAUAGAUGGAUCCGCGCCGCAUUAGCUAGUUGGUAAGGUAACGGCUUACCAAGGCAACGAUGCGUAGCCGACCUGAGAGGGUGAUCGGCCACACUGGAACUGAGACACGGUCCAGACUCCUACGGGAGGCAGCAGUAGGGAAUCUUCCGCAAUGGGCGAAAGCCUGACGGAGCAACGCCGCGUGAGUGAAGAAGGUCCUCGGAUCGUAAAACUCUGUUAUUAGGGAAGAACAAAUGUGUAAGUAACUAUGCACGUCUUGACGGUACCUAAUCAGAAAGCCACGGCUAACUACGUG
rnacentral:rRNA from 1 species